UUAAUUGUCUUAGUCAAGUGGACUAUGGUUCAAGGACAGGGGUAGUGGUGGUUCUUCGGACGAUUUACAGAAAUGCGUAACACAAGUUUGGUAUUCACCUAACGAUGACGGUGUAUCAGAGGUUGUUUCUACUAGUAUUUUCACGACGACCAACGAUGAAUUAAAAACCGUAGCUGAAGUAAUUGUAAGUAAAAAUAAUGCAUUCUUGUUUGAUAUCCAUGUACCAAUUACGGGACAUAGCUAUCGAGAAAGCUGGGAUAUUGCACUAGAUUAUGACAAUUACGCAAUAGGUUGGACCUGUUCCUAUAAUGGAACUACGCGUACGGAGAACGCUGCGAUUUAUACUCGAGAACGAAAUCCAACUAUAGAUCUCCUAAAAAUAGCGCAAGAAGCAUUCGAUCGCUACGGUCUCAUAAUGCCUGAUAUGAUCAAAAGUGAUAACGAAAAUUGUCCUUAAACUGUUUUUAAAAA